rnacentral:rRNA from 1 species
CGCUCAACAGCUAGCCCAUCUAAUAAAAACAACAAACCACUAUUUAUACCCCCAAAUGCACUAAAUGCCUAAAUUAAACAAACCAUUUUUCCCCCCUAGUAUGGGCGACAGAAAAG